UAUUGACUAGUAAUAAUAGCUCGGGUAUACUACUUAUAAUUUCUCUUUGCAUUAUUUCAUUAUGUCCCUAAACUAUUUGGUCUGAUCGCUUGUUUUUAUUUUGUAGUCAUGCCGUCUGAAGAUGCUUUCAACAUGUAUGCCUCGGUCGAAGCUCCGUCAAGCAAGAAAAGACCGAGUAAAAGGCAUCCGGGGGAGAGCAGUAGUGAGCAUUCCAAGAAAAAGCUCGACUAGAAGACCCUCCAGCUCCAAAUCCUUCUAGAACUACAACUCCUCCUCCGAGCAGUGGCCUUUCCUCCGAGCAGGCAGGGAGAUCCUUGGCCGCUGAUUUGCUGAACAACGUCUUUAACGCUACCCACGAAAAGCUGCAAAGACUGUCCAGGCACCGCCGCAGCCAGGAAGCCUUUGUCCAUCUUCCUCCACUGAAGCACAGCCAGGUCAUGAGCCGCGGGCUUUCUGAAGUCCUUAAUGGUAUCCUGACCAUGAGCCAUAGUUAGCGUCGUGCUGAGGAGAUCGAGGCCAAACAUGAUGAGGAUACCAAGGUGUGCGAGGAGAAGGUUAAGGCGGAUGAAGACAAAGUCACCAGUCUAACCGAGGAGUUGAAGAGGAGCCAAUAAGAGCUGGCCAAAGUUGUUGCUGCCAACGAAAAGUUUAAGGAGGUUUCGAAGAAAAAAUUCAAAGAAGCAACCAAACUCCAAGAGGACCUGGCGGCCAACAUGAAGGAGGCUACCGAGCUAGAGGAGCGGGUCCAGCUGCUCAAGGAGACCAAUUCUCAAAACCUGGAGAGGUUCAAAGGAGCAACUUUCAAUUGCUUCUAUCUGUUCUGGAAGAACAACCCAAGAGCGAAUUUUGACUACCUUCCCGAGCAGAUGAGGCAAGUCGAACUGGGGAAGUGCGUUGCUCGCUUGGAAGGAAUCUCCUGAAAUUUCCUUGGCGAUAGGCAUCGAUGGAGCCGAAGAAGAUGCAGGGACAAUAGUCGACCAAUACCCUCAGCAAGACCCUCCUCCAGCCGCACAAUAAUUUAUUAUUUUUUUUAACUUUGUAACUAAAAUAUGCAAACAUUGGUUCGUAAUGUUGAGACAAUUUUGCUGCAUAAUGCAGCUUUUCUUUUAAUUUGAAUUACAUCCGAGCAGCAAUUGACCGCGGAGUAAAGAAAUUUCAUUAUGAUAUUAUAAUAUUUGUAUUUCUAUUAUAA